UCCUUGAUGGCUCAGAUGGUAAAGCAUCUGCCUACAAUGCAGGAGACCUGGAUUUGACCCCUGGUUCAGGAA
rnacentral:tRNA from 1 species